GUUCAACAGAGUAAAGAGGGUGAAACGGAGACAGGGGUUGAAUGGUAUAUUGAUUAAUUAGGUAAAUAAUUGGUUAGUUUCUACCCUCAUCUGGUUGUUUAGGUCUGAACUGUUAACCAAUUCUAAGGAAAAACUAAAAACCUGCAGACUCUCGUCCCUUCGUGGAACCGGUUUGACACCCCUAGUCUAGAUGGUUGACCCCACACUCCUGAACAGUGGAGUUAUAUGCACGUUAAAGUUGACUGCGAUUCGCCAACAGAAUCCUAUAUAAAAGAAGAAUAAGAUCACGCUCUUUCGUGACGUAGUUAUGUGAAACACCUCGGAAUUUCAUGGCAAACUGAGGUAAGAUAGUGUUUCUACUUACAGAUAGUGAAGAUAUUAAACAAAUAUAAUAAAUACUCCUAAAAAGGUUAGACAGUUUAUUUCGUAAGAAGUCGCCGAACUCAUCUUAAAAAACGCAUCAACUUUGGACCCACUUGACUCGAAUUAUCCAAUUAAUGGACAUCAUUACUGUUAAAAAAUAAAACGCGCAUGAAAAAGUAUGGAAUAAAAAUAUUUUAAACAUUUGAUAGCGACGAUCAAAUUCAAACCCGGAGGAUUAGAAGUAGAAACCAAUAUACACGAGAACGUGAUUGGCCGAGCGUUAAUGAGUGUCGGUUUAAUUAACUUCUCUCAGGACGUUUUGUCGUUAACUUGUCGUUUGAAUAGCUACUGUAGUUGCGUUCGAAGCUACGCUCACUCGUGAGUUACCGAAUAACAAUGCAUUUAUUUAAUUAAACCGUGUUAUAAUUUAUACAUUGUUCAUCGAAUAAAUGUCUGAUAUUACACAAAAAAAAUUCUCAGUAAGUCCAGAACGCCCGGUUGUUUAUAUUGGCACUCUGGGAAAAGUGUUCUUGAAAAGGUUUGCUGAUAAUGAGAAACCCUCAAACCCAUGCUGGGUUAGGAUUCAGCAGAGAACACAUGCCUUUGACAAGUAAGGUUUUUGCACGGCCUUAAUGGCAUAUAGUUCGACCAAGACUCAUCUUUAGGUAAAAUUCGGCUUACCCUGUCAUUUUUCAAAACAAACAAUCAAUUAUUCUUCUCAAGCCUAGCUUGGAAUUAGUAUUAUUGGCAUCUAAUUUCAUGAGUUGAAACUGCCCUGAGCCACAAAAGCUGCAUUACAUGCGGAAACCUCCAUACUUCAAACUAAGACGGUGGUAUUGUUUACCUCAAAGAAACCAUCAGGGUUAUUAUACCAUCAAGUGUUUUGAGAAGAAAAUCGUAUUUUAUCCAAAUCGUGCAGCCCGAGUUUUAUGCUUUUUAAAACUAGUUAUGCUUUGGUCCUUGGAUACAAUACUUUUCUGAAUGGCAGUUUAUUUUUAUUGAAGACCUUUUUUUUUUCUCCGGAGACCGACUAUUUGGCUUCUGGGGAACUUCGUUAACUGCCUCACGUUGUUAUAAAUUCAAAUGUCUAAGUGCUAUUUCUCAUACCUCUUUGAAAGCUGUUACAUCUUACUGCUGAUUAGUAAUCAACCUAAAGUAACCUCUGCAGGUGUUUGUAAUUGUGAUAUAGUUACUUCAAAGUCCUUUUCCAUGUGAUGUUAUCAUUAUUUUGUUCAACCCCUAUAUAUACAUAAUUUAUAUUGACAUGGUAAAAGGCAUGAUGGAAUUCCCAUCAUUUCUAUGUACACUAGUUUUUAUUGGCCUUUAAGAAUAUUGUGAUGAAUGGAAACCAUGUGAAGGAUACUGGUGCUUCCCCAAGUUGAACUAAAUGUCUGCUGAGUGAUUAGCCUCAACAUUAAUUAGGCUCCCAUGUUAAUUAGGAGCACCCCAUGUAUUGUCCCGUUGUAGAACUGAGUGAAGACCAGUGGAACGAUUCACCGAACAAAUACAAAAUAUUUCAUUUUAAAUUUAUAUUCAAUUAAAAAUAGUGUCAGAAGACUGUCAACUAAUCCAAAGCAUUUUAUAAAGCUUUUUAAUAUCAGCAGUAGUGUAUAUAAAGUGGUCAUUCAGAAAUCAAGCCUAAGAACAAGCUAUAGAGAAGCACAUGUUAUGCUACUCUGUAUUAAGACAGUAACAAGGUAAGAGUCCCAGCACUGAACAAGGGACCAUGGUCCUCCAGGAUGACAGCCUACAUGCUGACCUGUGUACAGAUGACCGUCUUCCCAGCAGGGUGUUUUCAAGCUCCCCCAAUAAUUUCGGGAAACUUUCCAGUCGUGGGGCAAGUCUUCAAUGAACAAGAGGCCAGCUGUAUUUGGUUAGAAGAUGGUGCUGUUGAAGGUCUUGUCUCUCCGGUACCAGAGACAGGAAGACAAGAGGUAUCAAAGCCCCUCCGUCAAACUGAAGACACUGUCCCGUGGCCAGUAUGGCUUAUAAAACAGGAGGAGGAAGAUGACGAUGAUCUGGACUUACAAGGUGACAGGAAGUGGAAACCAGAGUCGGCAGAACCGAAUGUCACAGGAGAAAGCGACGGAGAAGACAGAGGUCAAGUCUUUGGUGGAUCUAGUGGACUUGAGGACUUCAAAAGAGAAUUUCAAGAGAGUCCGUUGCUGGAGUCUGUUGAGGACACAGCAUCACCUAUAAAGAGACACGUUAGACAAAUGUUAAAACACGCUGGAUCAACAUAUUUUAGCUGCAAUCUCUGUGAUGAGAAAUUCCAGGGCCAGAGUGGCUUGGCCAGACACCGGCGCCACAAACAUGACCUGGUGAAAGCCUACUGUUGCUCUGUGUGCGGGAAAGGCUUCACCUACAUCAAAUCCCUGAACUCUCAUGAGCUCUCUCAUUCUGAGGUGAUCUCUUCAGCUGUACCUGUGGAUGAAACCAGGGCAAGGAAAAUCAAUCUGACAGAUGAACCCACAGACGGGAAUGCCGCAAGAGACAUGAUUAGUGCCAUCCUUCACUCAAAGCCAGGUGGAGAAAAGGUCUUCCAGGAAUAUGCAAACUCCAAAGGUCUAACAGAUAGCACGCGGAGACUGAUGGUGAACAUAAUUGUGGCCGAUAUGAUGGAAAAUCAUGGGAGGACCCCACCAUCAAGUGUCCGCACCAACUACGCCUUGGGGAUUGUGACUUUAUUUCCUUACUUGAGUGAUCCAAAUUCUGAGCAUGGAUAUGAACAAUAUUAUGAUUCAGCUAGUGGGUCUGGCUACCUGACCUGGAGGAUAAAGACAGUGGGUCGCAACAAAUUAUGUAAGACCAAGAAGAAAACCUAUCAGAAUGGUUCAAAGACUCAACGACAUUCCUCAUCAGCUGUUGAGCCACUAUUGGAUGAACAGGUCAGUUCAGUGGGCUCCGAUUGCUCUGGUUCAGCUGUACAUCUGGAUGAAACAAGGUCAAGGAAACGGCGUCGGGCUGAUGAACCCACAGACAGGAAUGUUGCAAGAGAUAUGAUCAGCGCCAUCCUUCACUCAAAACCAGGUGGUGAAAUGGUAUUUCAGGAGUAUAUGAAAACCAAAGGUCUUACGGAAAGCACGCGGAGACUGAUGGUGAACAUUAUUGUGGCAGAUAUGAUGGAAAAUCACGGGAGGACGCCCCCAUCAAGUGUCCGCGCCAACUACGCCUUGGGGAUUGUGACAUUAUUUCCCUAUUUGAGGGAUCCACAUUCUGAGCAUGGAUAUGAAAAAUAUUAUGAUGCAGCUAGUGGGUCUGGCUACCUGACCUGGAGGAUAAAGACAGUGGGUCGCAACACAUCAUGUAAGACCAAGAAGAAAACCAAGUCCACUUAUCAAAAUGGCCCAAAGGUUCUGCGAAGUUCUGUUUUACCUGUUGGGCAACUGUCAGGUGAUGAAUGUGUAGAAGCAAUAUCCCAGCUGAAGCAUACAAAUGACAAGGCACUGGUGAAAGAGAAAAUGAAGAUGACGUUCCAAUAUAGACAGGCGAUGAUUCAUGAUCCGGAGAAGCCCUCAACUGUCCUUAAUGUCUUCCCAAGAUUCCUUGACACUCCAGGCUUGAUCAAUCAAGAUUUCACCAUGCUUUUUGGAGAGGUUGUGUCUGGAACGUUCCUGGAAAAGUGGCCAACAUUCUUCAAACCCAGGGUGAUAGCAGAUUGCAAAACCCUUCCUUCCAGUGAACUGGUUGAACACCUCCUGUCAUCUGCACAACAGGAACCGAAUGAUUAUGGAUGGGAGAGUGACCUUGCAUCCAUUUUGUUGCUCCUGCAUCUUUUACCCCCCACCUCAAAAGGCCCAAAGACUGCAAAGAUCCGUACCUCUCAAGCUGCUGACCAUCUGGUUAGAUUUCUAAAGGCGGGGACAAACAUGGCGACCUUUCUAAAGGAUGUUGGAUGUGACCAGCAGCCCUUCCUCCUUUGCGUUGGUGAACGGAAGAACAUACUCCAGAAGUUCUACGUAGUUGUCGACCAGAAGGCCAUCCCAUGCCAGGCUGAAACAUCACUAGCAGCUUUUGAUGAGCUCUUUAAGGCACAUUAUGUCUUCAGUGUGACGUAUCAUGAAGCUUUGUGCAACUUCUACACAUUCAUCCAAACCACUAUUUACAGUAUCGAUGUGGGAAAGGCAAAAGAAUCCUCAAGAGUCAAGGAGAUUAGAGUUAGGCUGCUCAAUAAAAACACUUAAAGGACAUCCAACAAUGUUUUUAUUUAUACAUAAUAUCACUGUAGUUGUGUAUUGAGAAGUUUCAUGAUUUUAAAUAAAAAAUGAAUUUGGGCUGCAAUGGUUCUAAAAAUUAUUUUAAAAAAAGUAUUAAAUGAUAAGGUGUUUAACUGCUUUGAUUGCCAUCUUCCGGACCAUUUUACAAAACCUGUCCACCGUCCUUGAUAUACC
ensembl:lncRNA